GGGCUAGGAGGAAGGAGAAAAAGGCUAGACAGAGGGAACAAAAGAGGGAACAAAAAGCAGAAGCAGCCAAACUUCAGGUGCACAAAGUUUCGAAUGCACCAGAGUCCGGGAAGAAA